AAGUGUUGUUCCCGGACUUGAACAUGAUGAACUGAAUUGCAUGCUAGAGAGGGAUAAUUUGUAGUAUACUGAUGUGUAUGUAUGAUGGCGAUAGAGGAACUGCUUCUAAGCACUCAUAUGAUUGCUGAUGAGGACAUUGCUUCAAUGAUGCAAACGUGUAAUUGUAAUCUCGAAAGCUAAUCUGAUGCAUGGUUGAUAUCAACCUCUUUUAAGUGUUAGCAUGGAGAGCAAAGGGAAGGGCGUAUCAAUUUAUGGUGUUCCUCUUUCUUCCAAGGCAGGCGAAAUUUAUUUUGGUGAGCUAGAUACGAACGGAAGCACAGCUUUUACCAGCUAAUUCACUAGGUAAAUUAGGAUGUUCGUAUCCAUAGUUCUCUAAAUGUUACUUCUAAAUUCUCAUGCUUGCUUUAGUUUAUUCCCAAAGCCAUAGUAGAGUUAUAUCAUAGAUCAAG